rnacentral:rRNA from 1 species
ACGAACGCUGGCGGCGUGGAUAAGACAUGCAAGUCGAGCGCUUAUUCUGGUGUAGCAAUACAUCAGAGUAGGAGCGGCGCAAGGGUGCGUAACACGUGGGGUAAUUUACCAUGAAGUUUGGGGGAUAACUCGCUGAAAGGCGAGCUAAUUACCGGAUGUGGUUUUUGGAUGGCAUCAUCUGACAACUAAAGCUGGGGAUCGUAAGACCCUGGCGCUUCAUGAUAAGCCCGCGGCCUAUCAGCUAGUUGGUGAGGGUAACGGCCUCACCAAGGCUAAGACGGGUUAGCUGGUCUGAGAGGAACGACCAGCCACACUGGAACCUGAGACACGGUCCAGACACCUACGGGUGGCAGCAAGUCGAGAAUUUUUCUCAAUGGGCGCAAGCCUGAAGGAGCGACGCCGCGUGGGGGAUGAAGGGUUUCGAUAUCCCGUAAACCCCUGUCAUUCGUGAACAAUGGUUACGAUUGAACAUUUCGUAACUUGAUAGUAACGGAAGAGGAAGGGAAGGACGGCUAACUCUGUGCAGCAAGCCGCGGUAAUACAGAGGUUCCCGAGCGUUGUUCGGAUUCACUGGGCGUAAAGGGUGCGUAGGUGGCAUGGGUAAGUUUGAUGUGAAAGCUCAGGGCUUAACCCUGAAAUGGCAUUGAAUACUACUGUGCUGGAGGUUUGGAGGGGGGACUGGAAUUCUUGGUGUAGCAGUGAAAUGCGUAGAUAUCAAGAGGGAACACCAGUGGCGAAGGCGAGUCCCUGGACAACACCUGACACUGAGGCACGAAAGCUAGGGGAGCAAACAGGAUUAGAUACCCUGGUAGUCCUAGCCCUAAACGGUGCACGCUUGCUGUAAGAGGAAUCGACCCCCUCUUGUGGCGAAGCUAACGCGAUAAGCGUGCCGCCUGGGGAGUACGCGGUCGCAAGAUUAAAACUCAAAGAAAUUGACGGGGGCCUGCACAAGCGGGUGGAGUAUGGUGGCUUAAUAUUCGAUGCAACGCGAAGAAACCUUACCUGGCCUUGACAUGCAAGUGGGUAGAAACCAUGAAAGUUGGGACGAUCCCGCAAGGGAAGCUUGCACAGGUGCUGCAUGGCUGUCGUCAGCUCGUGUCGUGAGAUGUUGGUGGGUUAAGUCCCCGCAACGAGCGCAACCCUUGUGUCCUGUUGCCACCCCCCACGAGAGUGGGGAGCACUCUGGACAGACUGCCUCGCUUACAAACGGGGAGGAAGGUGGGGAUGACGUUCAAGUCAGUAUGGCCCUUACGGCCAGGGGCUGCACACGUACUACAAAUGCCUUACACAAAGGGAAGCAAGACCGUCAGGUGGAGCAAAUCCCAGAAAAUAAGGCCCAGUUCAGAUUGUCGUCUGCAAACUCGACGGCAUGAAGUUGGAAUCGCUAGUAAUGGCGCAUCAGCUACGGCGCCGUGAAUACGUUCCCAGGCCUUGUACACACACCGCCCGUCACAUCAUGAAAGCCGGUUGUACCCGAAGUCCGCAAGCAAACCGCAAGGAAGCAGCGGCCCGAAGGUAUGGCUGGUGAUUGGGGGU